rnacentral:rRNA from 1 species
UACGGGGGGGGCAAGCGUUGUUCGGAAUUACUGGGCGUAAAGGCUCGUAGGCGGCCAACUAAGUCAGACGUGAAAUCCCUCGGCUUAACCGGGGAACUGCAUCUGAUACUGGAUGGCUUGAGUUCGGGAGAGGGAUGCGGAAUUCCAGGUGUAGCGGUGAAAUGCGUAGAUAUCUGGAGGAACACCGGUGGCGAAGGCGGCAUCCUGGACCGACACUGACGCUGAGGCGCGAAAGCUAGGGGAGCAAAC